GACGAACGCUGGCGGCGUGCUUAACACAUGCAAGUCGAACGGAAAGGCCCUGCUUUUGUGGGGUGCUCGAGUGGCGAACGGGUGAGUAACACGUGAGUAACCUGCCCUUAACUUUGGGAUAACUUCAGGAAACUGGGGCUAAUACCGGAUAGGAGCUCCUGCUGCAUGGUGGGGGUUGGAAAGUUUCGGCGGUUGGGGAUGGACUCGCGGCUUAUCAGCUUGUUGGUGGGGUAGUGGCUUACCAAGGCUUUGACGGGUAGCCGGCCUGAGAGGGUGACCGGCCACAUUGGGACUGAGAUACGGCCCAGACUCCUACGGGAGGCAGCAGUGGGGAAUAUUGCACAAUGGGCGGAAGCCUGAUGCAGCAACGCCGCGUGCGGGAUGACGGCCUUCUGGUUGUAAACCGCUUUCGCCUGUGACGAAGCGUGAGUGACGGUAAUGGGUAAAGAAGCACCGGCUAACUACGUG
rnacentral:rRNA from 1 species